rnacentral:lncRNA from 1 species
AUCUUGUAUUCACUGACUGUCUUGUUAGAUUAACCCAAUAAAUUUCAUUUACUCCGCAUACUCAAUCCUAUAGACACCCUUUUAACUCUUCAUCACAGACGUAACUCGAUUUCAUAAAAUAGUCAAGAGUAAUCAAACCCACUUCAUUAAAAAUCCCAAUUCACCAUUACUACACUGACUUCAGCAACGAUUGCCUCAGUCUUCCCAAAAUCCUAUGAAGAAAAAAAACCCAAUUCUCUGUCUUCUUUCUCCGCCCGAAGCAUGAAGCUA